CUUGGUCAUUUAGAGGAAGUAAAAGUCGUAACAAGGUCUCCGUUGGUGAACCAGCGGAGGGAUCAUUACCGAGUUUACAACUCCCAAACCCCUGUGAACAUACCAUUUGUUGCCUCGGCGGUGCCUGCUUCGGCAGCCCGCCAGAGGACCCAAACCCUUGAUUUUAUACAGUAUCUUCUGAGUAAAUGAUUAAAUAAAUCAAAACUUUCAACAACGGAUCUCUUGGUUCUGGCAUCGAUGAAGAACGCAGCGAAAUGCGAUAAGUAAUGUGAAUUGCAGAAUUCAGUGAAUCAUCGAAUCUUUGAACGCACAUUGCGCCCGCCAGUAUUCUGGCGGGCAUGCCUGUUCGAGCGUCAUUUCAACCCUCAAGCCCCCGGGCUUGGUGUUGGAGAUCGGCGUGCCCCCCGGGGCGCGCCGCCUCCCAAAUAUAGUGGCGGUCUCGCUGUAGCUUCCUCUGCGUAGUAGCACACCUCGCACUGGAAAACAGCGUGGCCACGCCGUUAAACCCCCCACUUCUGAAAGGUUGACCUCGGAUCAGGUAGGAAUACCCGCUGAACUUAAGCAUAUCAAUAAGCGGAGGA
rnacentral:rRNA from 2 species